rnacentral:rRNA from 1 species
GGGUGCGAUCAUACCAGCAAUAAUGCACCGGAUCCCAUCAGAACUCCGAAGUUAAGCUUGCUUGGGCGAGAGCAGUACUAAGAUGGGUGACCUCCUGGGAAGUCCUCGUGUUGCACCCCUC